CCUACGGGGGGCUGCAGUGGGGAAUAUUGGACAAUGGGCGCAAGCCUGAUCCAGCAAUGCCGCGUGUGUGAAGAAGGCCUGCGGGUUGUAAAGCACUUUAAGCAGGAAAGAAGGGGUGAAAGUUAAUACCUUUCAUCAUUGACGUUACCUGCAGAAUAAGCACCGGCUAACUCCGUGCCAGCAGCCGCGGUAAUACGGCGGGUGCAAGCGUUGAUCGGAAUGACUGGGCGUAAUGCGCAGUCAGUCGGGUAAGCCCUGGGCUUAACCUGGGAACUGCGGUGGAUACUGUCUGGCUAGAGUGUGGUAGAGGGGAGUGGAAUUUCCGGUGUAGCAGUGAAAUGCGUAGAGAUCGGAAGGAACACCAGUGGCGAAGGCGGCUCCCUGGACUAACACUGACGCUGAGGUGCGAAAGCGUGGGGAGCAAACAGGAUUAGAUACCCCAGUAGUC
rnacentral:rRNA from 1 species